rnacentral:rRNA from 2 species
AAGUCUGAUGGAGCACGCCGCGUGAGUGAAGAAGGGUUUCGGCUCGUAAAACUCUGUUGUUAAAGAAGAACAUAUCUGAGAGUAACUGUUCAGGUAUUGACGGUAUCUAACCAGAAAGCCACGGCUAACUACGUGCCAGCAGCCGCGGUAAUACGUAGGUGGCAAGCGUUGUCGGAUUUAUUGGGCGUAAAGCGAGCGCAGGCGGUUUUUUAAGUCUGAUGUGAAAGCCUUCGGCUCAACCGAAGAAGUGCAUCGGAAACUGGGGAACUUGAGUGCAGAAGAGGACAGUGGAACUCCAUGUGUAGCGGUGAAAUGCGUAGAUAUAUGGAAGAACACCAGUGGCGAAGGCGGCUGUCUGGUCUGUAACUGACGCUGAGGCUCGAAAGUAUGGGUAGCAAACAGGAUUAGAUACCCUGGUAGCCCACUACCGUAAACGAUGAAUGCUAAGUGUUGGAGGGUUUCCGCCCUUCAGUGCUGCAGCUAACGCAUUAAGCAUUCCGCCUGGGGAGUACGGCCGCAAGGCUGAAACUCAAAGGAAUUGACGGGGGCCCGCACAAGCGGUGGAGCAUGUGGUUUAAUU